rnacentral:rRNA from 1 species
UGAGGCGUUGAGCUAACCGAUACUAAUUGCCCGUGAGGCUUGACCAUAUAACACCCAAACA